CACAGAAUUUUUUUAUUAGCCAAAUUCUAAGGUCUUCCUCUAGUUUAGCCUUCUUUUCAAAUGUUCUCAAGGUUCAAUUCUGGCUAGUCCAUGCAAGGACAGAGGCUCUCACGAAUCAGGGCUCAUGGGGGAGGGUGAACCAGGGCUGGAUGCAGACCCCACGGUGCUCUUUCUUUUUGCCAGGAGAUCAACUGAGAAUCUCUGAGCUCUCACGUGCUAUCCUCAGUUACAACUGAGAUCUUGUCAUACUAUUAACACCUUAAAAAUGAUGUGACCCAGGAAGAAAAUAAAGAACCAAACUUUAUUUUCAAACUUUAACAAUGGUUUAGGGAAACCUGAAUGGGGAAAUGUUGGUUUCUAUGCUUGGCCCCACUCAGCAGAGGAGGUGCCAGGCACGUCUACUUUUACCCUCUGCUCCUCAGGCUGCGCAUCCGUGGAGCAGAGCCACCCACAGAAAUCACAGGUAGAAUUGCAAAGUGACGUCUGAGUGGUUGCUUUAUGGGAUGACACUUAUGAGCUAGUAUUUAUGAGAAAGUAAAAUAAUUUCAGAUGAUAUGCAUGGGAGUAUUUGAGAAAUAUCUAUUGUUCUGAAAUAAGAAAGCAGCAUAUACUUUGUUAGGAAGCCUCUGGUUAUAUGAUUGAUAGCAGAAUAGACAUUCCCCAUCAGAGAAGAGGCUGGCUGGACUUGACAUUCUGUUAGAUUCCUUGGACAGGACUUGAUAGUUUUGCAACAUUAAAAUAUGCUCAUUUGCAUCUUCCUCAGGAACAUCUGGAGAGGGAAAAAAAGUGGCUUUGGAAAGCUGUUCAGCUCACAGAGCACUGAGGCUGAGCAAACAUUCCGGCUUUCCCUGGCUGGCCAUCACUCACACCCAAUGUAUUUAUUCUUUUUCUGCAAUGAGAGAGCAACAUUUGGAAGAGCUCAAGCUGCUGAGUUAAUCAUCGAGACGCCACAGGGAUGUUUUCAGCUACGGGGCUGCCCACCUCACAUGAUUUGGAAUCAGCACAGCCACCACGCUGAGUGAGGCAAGCAUCAUGGCUUGUCCGAUGUGGGGGAAAUCACAUUUGCUGCCUUUCAGAUUUCCUAUCUCUGUUUAAAGCAUCAAUGCCAAGAGCAGGAACUUGCCAGUAUUUCCAUGAGUCAUUGGUUUCAACUCAGCGUUGGCCCCAAAAGAUUUUUACCUAACAUGGAUACAUGCUUCUCUUUUUAUCUUAUUGUGUAAUUUUACUCUUUUUUCCAAAUAUGCUGGGACUCAGAAGAUGGAUUUUACCUGGUUAUUGUUGAGUUGUGGUAGAGCCUUCUCAAGUCAUUUUCUAGAUCCACAACUCCCUCCCCUCUUCCCAACACCUACUUAAGCCCUCUAAAGCCAAUAACAUUUCACUACCAAAGAUACGCUGCAUUCCACCUCUUCUUUUUGCUUGUAGGUGAAGUCACCAUUUGACAUCUGACCCUGAAGAGAAUGGUGCCUUACCUUAUAUUUGGUACACAAAUGUUUAUCUUUGCUGUUCUCCGUAGCAGCAGUUACUAUAGACUUCUUUUACAUAUUUAUAUUCAGCUAGAAAGUCAGAUUUAAAGAUAGGGCACAAAUAGGCUGGUAAAAUAGGUUGCCCAGAACAUGGCGUUUUCAGAAGUUAAAAGUCCUAAAAGAUCAAAUGAGAUGCUGAUUGUCCAAAGUUGGCUUGGGAGUUAUUGAGACUCUACCAAAAAGUUAAAAAAUAAGUCAAAAUCAAGCUAUGUCUGGGAAAAAUUACUUUCUCAUGUUGUGUUUGAGAGCUAAGUGCAGCCCUUUCCAUUUUAGCCUGUAAAGCAGCAUUGUGAUGAUGACGGUGAUGGUGAUGGUGAUGGUGAUGGUGAUGGUGAAGACAUGGGCAAGUAUUCAUGGAAAUUAAUGUCCAGAUUUUUGGAAGUUCCCUAUAGAUCUCCCAUAGCAUAGUUGAAUCUGAAGUGUUUAGGGGGCUUCAGUUAUCUGGGUAGUGGCUUCAGACCUCCACUUUGUGUGGUAAAGGCCAAAGAGUCAAGUCUGUGUUUCUACUAACAGGUGAUGGUAACGAAGACCAAGAUGCUGGGGGCAACAAAUGGAAGAAGUGUUAAAGAGAUUAUUUCUACCUUUCCUUUCCAGUCAGGAAAAGAACUCACACGGCAGAGGAGACUGUUUUCAAAAUCAAUCCUUCAUAUUUAAAAGAGAGAUCCAUCCUCCCCAGGAGGUGCAAACACCAUCGUUCCAACCGAGACCUCCAUCUCCUCAGAUCAUAAAGCUCUUAAGCAAUGGUACAUUCUGGGAAGGGAGUUCUGGUAAUGUGGAAGGUGAAAGUGAUAUAAAGGAAGGUUGGAGGCAAGAGAUCAUUCAGCAUACCAUUCUCAAUAGACAAGGCUCAUCAAUUCGCCAUCACCUUUGUGUGGCACAGCCCACAUAAGCUCUUAUCCUAACAGCUUCCAGAGGAGGGCACUGUCAUAAGAGGACAAUAGAAAUGCCAGCUGCACAUAUAAGUAUUAGCAGCAUAAUUUAUGUUUCUCUUCCCAUCUACUCUCUCUCACACAUGGGCACUUCUUAGAGGAGGUGUGGUCGCUCAUCCUUUUGGGCCAACCUUUGAGAAAGUGUAAAUCAACUUAUUUGGACUAAAAUCUCUAUAGAAGAUGAAUAUUAAUUAAAAGGCUGUUCAAAUCAUUGCAAACCAUGAGAAGAAUCCAGCUCUUUCAAAGUUCAGUGUAAGCAGGAUUAAACUCUUUUGACUGGAUUGUUUAUUAAAGAUUUAGUUGUAUGAGAUUGAAAGAAAUCAGGCUGGAACAUGAAGUCCACGAGGGUAGUUUCUUUGUCUGUUUUAGUCACAGCUCUGUCCUUAAGUAUCUAGCACAAUGACUAACACAUAAAAAGUGCUUAGUAAAUAUCUGUUGAAGUAAUGAUUGUAUAAGACAAAUGACACAAUUCAAACUGCCUGAUCCCAACCCCGUGCCCCUGAUGUCUCCUCCCUUGCUCACUGUUACACACACACCCUCUGCCCAUUCACCCCUUGCCCCUAGGUCAUUUGCCAGUGGGUAGACAAGUAAGGGGUGGGGAGAAAGAUUUGACAUUUUGUAAGCACUCUUCAAGAAAAGCAUCCCUGUCAGGGCCAGGCCAUGGGCAGCUUGAUACAGUGUCCUUUUGGCCUGUACAUCUUCCUGCCUGGGGAUCAUGUUGGCGGAUGCCGAAUGGUUGUCCCUGGGGUGCCACUUCAGAGUAAGAGAGUGUGUCGGUUUCCUAGGGCUGCUGUAACGAAGCAUCAGAAGCUACGGUGGCUUAAAAUAGCAUAGCUUUAUUGUCUCAUAGUGCUGGAGGCCAGAAGACCCAAAUCAAGGCACCAGCCAGGCCGUGCUCUCCUGAUGGCAGUGAGGGAGACUCUCCUGGCAUCUUCCAGCUUCUGCUGUUCGCUGGCCGUCCGUGGCACCCCAUGGCCUGGAGAUGCCUCACUCCAGUCACAUGGCUGCCUUCUUCCUGCGCCUUCCUGUAGUCUUCCCUCUGGGCAUGUCUCUCUCUGUACCCACAUUUCUCCUUUUCAUAAGACACCAGGCAUGUUCAGUUAGGGCCCACCUUAAAGACCUCAUUUUAACUUCAUGACCUCUGUAAAGGCCUCUUUCCAAGUGCAGUCACAUUCUGAGGUACUGGGGGUUAGGACUUAAGCAUCUCUUUUAAAUACACAAUUUAACCCAUAACAGAGGGCCAUGUGCAGUCCAGAAGAUGGUAAUGGGAUAUUUUCAGGUCUGGGCAGAGAGGUCAAUAAUAAUUGAAUCAUUCCUAUCAUUUCUUGUAGCCUGCAUUCUUGCAAUUCCCACUUCAAAUGACUGUUAAUACAUAAUGCUGUCUGACUAUUCUCUGAUCAUUCCUUGUGCUUAGUAAUUUCUCUGUCACUUCCAUCCCUUCAAUGGGCAUUCUAUCCAAACAUCCUACCUAAAUUGCACCCUAGUCUUUUUGCUCUGUUUGCGCACCAGGCAACUUGCUUUCAGUUACAUUUGUUCUUUGGUCUUACUACAUAGGGAUGAUUGUCUACUUUAUGUAACUGGUCCUGUGACACACUUGGGCCAAUUCAUUCUAAGAGUUAGCUAUUUUAUUAGGAACAAUGAUAUCGAAAGGUCAUAUGAAUUUAUUUUGUUAUUUUAUUUCAAAGUAAUUUAUUGUUUUGGCAUUCACAUAGAGUAUGUAAUAAAGGUAACAUAGUCCUUGUUACAUAGACAUUGUCUAUUUUGCUUUGAAACACAAAAUGCUGAAAACAUUCAGCACUCCUCAGCUGGGUUUAUCUCUAGGCUAUGCAGGAUGGAUUGGUUUGAUGAAUAAAACACAUUUGUGCUUUAUAAGUCAUUUCUCCUUUUUUGGAAAUUGUUUAGUAUAGUUGUGAUAAAUUUGCUAAUUUAGAUGUCUUGCAAAGCAUCAAAGUCUCAGAACAAAAUGCCUCUUAUAAUAUCAUGGAACAUUGUCCCCAGGGUCUACUCUACAUCUAUAAUUCAACUAAAAAGAAAUGUAGAAAGAAGAUAUAUUACUGAUGAUUAAUUAAAUAUUUUUUAAAAUUAAAAAUUCUUAUCAUUUCUGUUGAGCAGAAAAGCUCCAACUCCAGAGAAGGACUCCAUAUAAAUGUCCUCAGCCAGAAGGGACAAGAACAGAUGAAUGGCUUUCUUCACACUUCUUGUUGGGUGAAUCAGUCAUGCUGCAGGGUCAUUUCAAGUUUGCCAUUUUUGUACAAAAUCACUUAAUAAAUUGAUUGGCACCUUAUCUUGGUGUCAGUGUCACUCCACUUUUAGAGAUGUCCAAACUGUUUAAAUAUCAAAAACAAACUAUGGAGGACAACUUAGUGAGAAAAGGUUUGUACUAGCCAAAGAUCAAAGGGAGACAGCUGACUGCUGUGUAUAUGUGCUGUUACCAGAGAAGAAGUACAGUGAUUUAGUCAGUGCACAUGGUUAGAGAUUCUUGGCUGGCCUCAGUGAACAGGGAAAGCAGUUAGAGAAGAUGCCAGGACAAGCAUGUACAGAAAAUUAGAAUGACAUAUCCUAAGGAAAACAAGAUUUUCAGCAUUACGAAGGUGACUAUUAGAAUGCACUUCAGGUGAACUAUUUUUUAGAAAAUUAAUGACCCCAAUUAUGGGCAUGUUAAAGGAAAAAAAAUCCUUUGAAGUGGACAAGUGUUACAAAAUAUGAAGCAAAAUAUCAUUACAUUAACAAUAUGAUACUUUACUUUGGCAUAGAUAGGAAGUUUAAAAGAGCUGUCAAUAAAUUGUCAGUCCAUCUUGAAAAGAGAAGGCUCCUGUGGCCAAAUUUUAAUUUAUGAGUAUUUUAUUAAGUUGGGCUUAGUGUCUGAGUUUUCCACACAUGGUCAGUUAGUGAAUGUGUAAUGUAUUUGUUUAUUUACUUUAUUGCAGAUAUUCUGGGGAAGAUAUAGAUAAAAUAUUUAAAAGAAGCAGUAUGAGAAAUAGCAUUCUCCUUUAACUUAUAUGGGUUAUCUUGGAUGAUUUAAUCAUAAACUAGUGUAUACAGAAAAAUAUUUUAUGACAUAAACUGUUUUCAGACCGAAAAGCAGGAUUUGACUAUAACUUUAAGUAGUCUCCCAAAUUAAAUGUUUUUUUUUAAUCUGACACUCUUCUUGAUAAAGUUGUAAGAGGACAUUGUACAUGUUCACUUUUUCUUUAAAGUGGUCGCUUUAAAAACACAAAGCACUCGUUGUGCGAAGCCUAGCCAUGGAAGGAGGGACUGGGUAUGAUGACUUCAGCCCAUGUUCUGGCUGCACUUGUCUACAGAGGAUGCUCAGACUUGGGUUAGGCAAAGUUAAAAGUCGUAAGGAAAGCAAACUGUGAGCAGCUGUUCCCCAAGUUAUUAUGUGUUUGGUUUGGACUUCUACUUCCAUGAAUUCCUAGGAUUCAUUUGCAAAACGGUAAGUGAAUUGCCUACUUCAAGUAUGAACAAAGCAUCCAAGGAAAAGAAUCUUUCAAAGUCAUAUGACAUGGCCUUUUAUAAAAUCUCCAGCAACAGAGUCCGCAUGCCUGCAAUGCCAUCCUGUAUGCCAUCUGACUUAAAAAAAUUUGUAUUGACAUUGGUAUUCUUCAGAAGGUGUAAACUAUAAGAGUAGGGAUUCUGUCCUACUGACUCUAGCAUUUAAUGUAGUGUCAGGCACCUAAUAGGUGUUCAAAACGUGCCAAAUAUUCGCCCUAUGGGUAAUUAUAAUUUACAAUGGUUUUUAAGUUUGAGCUAAUGGAUUUCUUUUCUUGCACACUUUUUCUUCUAAUAUUUCUCAUCCUAAAUGCUAACACUGAUAACCCAGCUGCUAAGCGGAAAACCUGGGCAUUGCCCUUGAUUCUCUUCUUACCCUCAGCCUCACACUUAACAAGCUCUGUGAUUGCUAUCAUAUCCUCUGUCUCCACAGCAGUUCUGCUGCUGUGCAAGUGUAAACCCCACCAUUUCUUUCUUGGACCACUGCAAUGGUCCCCAACAAGUUUCUCUAUUUUUAUUCUUGCCUUUCUUCAAUCUUUUCUGUUCACAGCUGCCAGAAUAAUCUAAAUGCACAGAGAGAUCAUGAUAUUCUACUGCUUAAACCCUGUUUUGGCUCUCUCAACCUUCACAGGUAACCUACUUCCUUCCCAGGGUCUACAAGAGCCUCUUUGUAGUCUGGCCCUCACCUCUCUCCAAUCCAGGUCUGCCCUUCCGUUCAUUCACUAUAACCCAGCUGUGUUGGUUUUCCUUCAGUUCUUAAAAAACACUGUGCUUCUCUUCCCCUCCUGGCCCCUAUUCUUGCAGUUUCUUCAGUGUGGGAUGAACUUCCUCUGGCUCGUUGAAUGGCUGGCUGCUUCUUACCCUGCUUGUCUUGCUUAUUUUUGAAGAAACUGUUCCUGAACCCCCUACCUCAGUAGUUUUCCCUUACAUCCCCUCCUCCAGCACUUCAUCUGCUUUGCAUGUUU